UUUCAUUUGACGUAGACGUGACGUCGACGUAAAGCGCGAAAUUUGACUGGCGGUCGGAAGUGAAAAAGAUAAGCGCAAAAUCACAGACAGACAGUACGCAAAAUGCCUAUGUCCUGUUGUGUUUACGGAUGCUCCAGUAGGUCGACCAGAGAAACCGAUAAACGGUAUUUUAGGGUACCAAAAAUAGCCCAACGAAGAGGAGAAAAAUGGAAAAUUCUAACCGAAAAACGUAGGAAAAAAUGGAUUUUAAAUUUACGUUUACAGUCGGGAGGAGCAGAGUCUGCCAAUGCCCGUGUCUGCAGCGACCACUUCGUCAGAGGCUGCCCAAGUGCUUUGGAUGACGAAGAGUCGGAGGACUGGGCUCCGACGGUCAAUCUCGGCUACGAACGAAAACCCAGAUCGGAAUCAGUUCUCAAACGAGAGAAAAGAAUGAAGCUUAAGGCAGAACAGCAUCGAUGUGCAGAGGCGAUUUUGGAUAUGCAACAGACGGCUGAGAGCCCGGAUUUGAGCCUAGUGACAGUGGAGAACCCCGAACUGCAGCUUCCAGCUGAGAAUCCACAACCAGAAGACUUCAGUGUGAAUGAGACAUUCACUUAUCCAGGUUCUGGUUAGAGUGGCCAUGUAGAACCACCAUCACCAGCUGUGGUCUACAGCGUCAGCCAGUGAAUCCAUCUCACCGAGGGAGGACAGACUUUCUGGACAUCGAGGACCGCCACAGCGGCGACUUGUGCCAACUGCUGGUAGGUAAACACGAGACAGAAAAGGCAGAAGCUUAAGUUUUAAAAUACGAUUGGGGGACUGUGCAUGGAGGAAAGAUUACAUUUUUUAAAAAUGCUCAAAUGAGUCAUGAAAUGCAAUUGAUCAGCCUAAAUUGAUAAAUAAAUAAAGUUAGACGCUGGAGCCGACAAACACCUGAAGCUUCAAACUGAAGGAAUUUCAUAAUCCUGAUCGCUCUCUCCGGCUCUGCUUGCCCUGCUUUCUCUUCCCUGUUAAUACAAACCAUGAAUAUUACAUUCAUGAAAACAGGACCCCAUGCUCGCUCACUCACUCACUCUAAGGGUCUCUCGCCCCACAGCAACCUGCAGCCAUCGACUGAAUGAAUCCAUCAGGAGAUCAUUUACAUCACCACACACACACACACACACACACACUUACAGCCGGCAUUGGUCAUAAACAAGCCACUCUCUCUCUUUUCAAUGUCAGCAGUUUACAGCAAAUGUCGCUCGACCACUCCUGCAUGUAUGUUGCACAUGAAAUUCUGCUCCAUCACACACACAUCCUCUCUCUCUCUCUCUCUCUCUCUUCCUC